GGAUCCUAAAAAAAAAAAAAAAAAAGCCCUGACUAUAAUGUGUUUCAUGUGCCGACUUUAGUUAGAAUUGGCUUGAAAGCCAUUUUGUGUUUCGAGUGUGGGAUUAAGGAGGCCAUUGUCUCCUUGUUGGGUUAUAUACCCUCACUAAAGAGUAGAACAUCAACUCUCUCCACCUUCCCUAAUCCUUCCAGGAUUCUGGGUACAUCACCUUGUUGGGUAUAUGUUAAAAAUUUUGGCUAGGUAAAUUAUGUAUUUGGUCUCCUUCCACGUAACCUACUGGUAUCAGAACAGAAGAUUCAGAACCACUUGGCUAGAGAGAGAUGGUCAGUAUUAAACAGAGUGUGCACUGCUCAUGCGGAGGACCCAAGCUCGGUUCUCAGUACUCACAUCCAGACAGCUCAUAGCUUCCCGUAACCACCUCGAGGGCACCCACGAGCAUGCACAAACCCACACGUAGUCACACAGCUGAUGGAAGGGGCUGGAGAGAUGGCUUAGCUGGUGAUGCGCUUGCACAGGCUCCGGGUUUGAUCCCUAGCACCAUGUGAUAGCUCGUAACCGUAUAUAACUCCGUUUCCGGGGAACCGGAUGCCCUUUUCAUGCCUCCAGGGGUGCACGUGGCAUCUAGACAUGCAGGCAGGCUAAACAGUUACAUAGAUAAAACAUUCGUUAAAAGAAUGAAAUCUUGAGGACGCUUUGUUCAUCGUGCUAGAAGAGGGACUACUGUGAACUCCGUUCUGAACUGUCAUAGGCCCUUUUAACCUAGAGCUGAAUCUUUAGGCUGGGAUCAUCUUGCUGUUAAAAAGGCUAUUUUUUUUAUGAUAGAAUAUAAGACAUUGAGGUAUGACUUGACUUGUAGUAGCAACAGCAGCUACUCUUCGUCAGUGCUUGGUGUGCACACAGUGGGGGUCAGCAAAGGUUAUCCGUAAGGAGCCAGAGAGGAAGUAUUCUGGCUUUGUGUGGCGGAUGGCUCUGUGGCAAGUGUCCAGUGCUGCUUCUGUCGCUCUAGGCUCUGCUAGAUACUUCUAAAUGAACAUGUGAUCUACCUGUCUACAAAGGUUUGCUCACCUCACUGGCAAAAAGGCUGGGUUUGGCACAUAGCCUGUAGUUUAUUGACUCCUGGGCUGGGUGAUUCUCUGAGUUCUACCUUUGAGCCCCCACCAUGGUGCAGGAAGUGAGACUCCUUGCCCAUCUC
rnacentral:lncRNA from 1 species